rnacentral:rRNA from 1 species
AUUGAACGCUGGCGGCAGGCCUAACACAUGCAAGUCGAACGAGUGGCGGACGGGUGAGUCAUGUCUGGGAAACUGCCUGAUGGAGGGGGAUAACUACUGGAAACGGUAGCUAAUACCGCAUACCAUCGGAUGUGCCCAGGUGGGAUUAGCUAGUAGGUGGGGUAACGGCUCACCUAGGCGACGAUCCCUAGCUGGUCUGCGAGGAUGACCAGCCACACUGGGACUGAGACACGGUCCACACUCCUACGGGAGUCCGCAGUGGGGAAUAUUGCACAAUGGGCGAAAGCCCGAUACAGCCAUGCCGCGUUGAUGAGGGAGGCCUUCGGGCUGUAAAGUACUUACAGCGGGGAGCGGUUACCCGCAGAAGAAGCACCGGCUAACUCCGUGCCAGCAGCCGCGGUAAUAC